UACGUAGGGUGCAAGCGUUGUCCGGAAUUAUUGGGCGUAAAGAGCUCGUAGGCGGUUUGUCACGUCGGCUGUGAAAUCCCGAGGCUCAACCUCGGGUCUGCAGUCGAUACGGGCGGACUUGAGUACUGCAGGGGAGACUGGAAUUCCUGGUGUAGCGGUGAAAUGCGCAGAUAUCAGGAGGAACACCGGUGGCGAAGGCGGGUCUCUGGGCAGUAACUGACGCUGGAGGAGCGAAAGCGUGGGGAGCGAACAGG
rnacentral:rRNA from 1 species